AGAGUUUGAUCCUGGCUCAGAUUGAACGCUGGCGGCGUGCCUAACACAUGCAAGUCCAACGGCAGCACGGGGGCAACCCUGGUGGCGAGUGGCGAACGGGUGAGUAAUGCAUCGGAACGUAUCCUUGAGUGGGGGAUAACGCAGCGAAAGUUGUGCUAAUACCGCAUAAGCUCUGAGGAGGAAAGCGGGGGAUCUUCGGACCUCGCGCUAAGAGAGGAGCCUACGUCCGAUUAGCUAGUUGGCGGGGUAAAGGCCCACCAAGGCGACGAUCGGUAGCUGGUCUGAGAGGACGACCAGCCACACUGGGACUGAGACACGGCCCAGACUCCUACGGGAGGCGAC
rnacentral:rRNA from 1 species